CUUGCUGAUGCUAAAUGCCCGCACUACCUGCAGGAUCUUGAUUUCUACUUCAUUCUUGCAAAUUCUUGUGCCUCGUUUUAAUAUGUCAAAGGAUAUAAUGGCGAAGCUGGAUGGGAAAAUGCUCGGCCGCUUUGUUUCAGGUCUGGACAGCAUCUUGCUUUCCCACAACAGCUACCACUGCUCCAAGAAAAUGAAUUAGACCAAUGAAGUCACUAAGGAUUUUUCCUCUUGGGAGAACCUAAAACCCACAUUGAGGUUGUUCUCUGAGAAAAGCGGCCAUGAUGUUAAAUGUGCAUAUUGCAUGCCAACAGGUAACCAGCUACCUUCUGAGCCUCAACCAGGCAAUCAGUCUUCAGUGUGUAUGUGAGAAGUCUACACUCUCUUCUCUCUGACUAAAACUGGAAUAAAUUUGUCUACAAUGCCUCGUCUGCUGAGGCACGAAACUGUACUACAUAUAUUGUGCAAGGUUUCUCCAUGAUUCAUUGAUACUACUGCCUUAAUGUUCCAAACCAUUGAGAACAUAGUUAUUUCUACAUCUCGUUUUUAACUUUCCUUUUGUUAUAUAUCUUUCAAAGGUGCAAGAAUCCCACAGUGGUUAACACCUAUUUCCGUAAGUCCGAUGAUGCAUCUGAAGACAAGGACUCAUCUUUGCCUCUUUGAAAACUAUAGUCUCGUAACUCCUUUUGAAUUACCUAAAGAGUCAGAAUUACAGCUGAGGUUUUGCAGGAUGCACAGGGCAUCCAAAGUUGAGCACCUGAGUUAAAACUUUGCUCAAGUUUUACUUACUAGGCAGGGGGAACGGGAGAAACAAACAAACAAACAAACAAAAAAUUAACCAGGAAGCUUUCAUUCUCUGCUGGGAAUUCUCAUCUCAAGGUCUUCUUGACAUUUCAUAUCUGGAGUGAAACAUAUUUUUUUUUUUAGUCACAAAGUAUUUUAAAAAGUGUAGAGCAUUUACAGAUUUCUAUAGGAUUAAUCUUCAGUCUCAUUUAUGGCCUCUACAGAUAACAGAGCUGAGGAGAACCCUUUUUUACACAGACUGCAUCCUUUAGAUAAAUAUUCUCUGGUCUUUCCUCACAGUAGAGAAAAACAGUGGAUGCUGAAGAGGAAAUACUCUGAGUAUUUUAUUUAAGUAAAGAAAUGGGUGAAUGGUUUAGGAGACAGCUAACCUUCUAAGACUCUAGUAUUUUUUAUAAAGUUAUAAAUCUACUGGAGAAUGCAAAAAUAAAAAUUUCAGCAUAUUUGGAAAAAUUGGUCUUGAUGCACAUGAAGAGAAUGUAUAUCGCCUGGGUAUAUCCUAGAAAAGUCCCUAGGGGAGGCUUAUUCCUUUCUACAGCAAUGAGUACUGAACAGCCACAGAGUAACAUAAUUUUGCAGAUUCAGGCAUAAUUUAACUGU